AACAGCAACAUUACCAUCAUCUGGCCUCAACUCAUCAGAUCUCAGAACCUCAGCAAAGCUGGGGGUCUGUACUGGGAUGGGAGACCUCCAAGGAAAACCAGGUUGCUGCUG
rnacentral:rRNA from 1 species